GCUUCCCCCUUGCUCAAAGGCAAACUAAAGUCAUGGGGAAGCAUAGCGCCACUUCCUCUUGUUUUCAAGCUCAUCCUGUUCUUAGGCUCUUCUUGGUGGAAACAAGAGUGCCACAAGCUAUUGAGUCUCAUUAGCUGAACCCUCGGCAAAGAACCAGUGACUGACUCCACAUGCGGGAGACUUCAACCCAGUUGACAGAUGCUAUUUCUCUCCGUCCCCGCUGACCCAGGCUGGGGAGACAGCAUAUUUCAGACAGGAUGCCCUCCCAAGAGCUGUGAUGCAACCCUGGAAAAAAUACCUGCUCCAGAUCCCAAGCCAGGAUCUGGUUUCUGCCAAUUCAGAGUGACAGGGAUCGGCAGCUAAGACACUGGCCAUUCCAGGAGGGAUUCAGGCCAGUGACCAAUGCUGUGAUAAAUGGAAAUGGGGAAGAUGAGAAGGAUGAGUAGACAGAAGCUCGCUCUGUCACCCAGGCUGGAGUGCAUGGCACAAUCUCAGCUCACUGCAACCUCUGCCUCCCAGGUUCAAGCAAUGUGAGUAGCUGGGAUUACAGGCGCAAGCAACCACACUCAGCUAAUAUUUGUAUUUUUAGUAGAGACAGGGUUCCAUCGUGUUG